UACGGAGGGGGCUAGCGUUGUUCGGAAUUACUGGGCGUAAAGCGCACGUAGGCGGCUUUGCAAGUUAGAGGUGAAAGCCCGGGGCUCAACUCCGGAAUUGCCUUUAAAACUGCAUCGCUAGAAUUGUGGAGAGGUAAGUGGAAUUCCGAGUGUAGAGGUGAAAUUCGUAGAUAUUCGGAAGAACACCAGUGGCGAAGGCGACUUACUGGACACAUAUUGACGCUGAGGUGCGAAAGUGUGGGGAGCAAACAGG
rnacentral:rRNA from 1 species